GAUGAACGCUAGCGGCAGGCUUAACACAUGCAAGUCGAGGGGCAGCGCGAUGUAGCAAUACAUUGGCGGCGACCGGCGCACGGGUGCGUAACACGUAUGCAACCUUCCCGCCACUGGGGGAUAGCCCGGAGAAAUCCGGAUCAAUACCCCAUAAUUCCCUGGGAGGCAUCUCCCGGGGCUGAAAACUCCGGUGGUGGCGGAUGGGCAUGCGCACGAUUAGCAGUUGGUGAGGUAACGGCUCACCAAGGCUACGACGGGUAGCCGGCCUGAGAGGGCGACCGGCCACACUGGGACUGAGACACGGCCCAGACUCCUACGGGAGGCAGCAGUGGGGAAUCUUGCGCAAUGGGCGAAAGCCUGACGCAGCGACGCCGCGUGAGGGAUGACGGCCUCGG
rnacentral:rRNA from 1 species